rnacentral:rRNA from 1 species
UACGGGGGGAGCAAGCGUUGUUCGGAUUUACUGGGCGUAAAGGGCGCGUAGGCGGCGCAACAAGUCACUUGUGAAAUCUCCGGGCUUAACUCGGAGCGGCCAAGUGAUACUGUCGUGCUAGAGUGCGGAAGGGGCUACUGGAAUUCUCGGUGUAGCGGUGAAAUGCGUAGAUAUCGAGAGGAACACCUGCGGCGAAGGCGGGUAGCUGGGCCGACACUGACGCUGAUGCGCGAAAGCCAGGGGAGCGAACGGG